AUGUUUCUGCAGCAGACUUGUCUCUGGCACCAAAGUUAUACCAUCUUGAGAUUGCUUUGGGGCAUUACAAGAAAUGGUCUGUUCCGGAUACACUCCGUAUACAAAAUCUUACAUGAAGACAAUUUUCUCAAUGGAGUCGUUCGUCAAAACGUGCAAGUCCUGAUGAUGUAAUUGCAGGUUGGUCCCAAAGUAAUGGGCUAAUUCUUUCUACCCUUCUCCCCAAAAUUUGAUGUAAGGAGGUAUAAUAUUUACAAGAAAUGCUACUCUUCUUGACAUGCAAAUGGGAUCAAGGACCAAUUUCUUCCUGCUUGUUAUCAUAUGAGAGUACUUCCUUUUGUUCA